GACAAUAACUUGAGAUCACAACGGUGAACAAAGCUACUCAAUUUCCUGUUGCACUAAAGGAAAUUUACAGUCCCUCGUCAAGUAACUACUUUAUCCUCUCAAAUUCAUGUCUAAAACCGCACAAAAGAAAUUUGCAUUACUUACAGACAUAACAUCCCAUCAGUAUGUUGUAUCAUGCUAUUUGGAAAUAAAUCAAAGAAGCAAUGAUCUAAUUACGUGAUUAUUUCCACAAAAUUGAAUCACAUAUGAGUAAUAAAUAAUUAACUCAAUCUCAUAAACGAAAGGAACUCAUUUCACUGUUCCAACAUCCUUCACAUUAAAUAAAGGAUCUUAAGUUUCUAAUCAUUCUUUCAUAGCCAAGAUAAACAACAACCAAUAAUUCCAUACAAAAAAAAGAUCUAUUUUUGUGAAGAACAUACCUCGUCGCGCAAGGUUUCAAUUUAAAAGUGAAGAAAGCCAAAUAAGACUAGAAUUGACGAGUUUGCAUCUCGGCAACAACAGAAUCAACAAAAUCCAGCUUCCAUUUCUGAAAUUAAAUCAACUCGGAUCCCAGAAGUUAUAGAAGUAAUACAACAGAAAUUGAACCAGAUUUAACAAUUCUUUGUAGUUCUUUCUAUAUUUUUUUUGUUUUUGAAGCUUUGAGAAAGGGGAUUUGUCUGGUUUUCUGUUUUGCUUGAGAAGGGAUCUAAAUCAGUCUCCUAUGUGUUUCAAAGAGAGGUGUGAGUUGAGGAUGAGAAGCAGCAGUGUUUGUUUUGGGUGGUGAAGAAAUGGAGAUCUCCUUUUCCUUGCGGCACCACCCUUUUCUGAAAGGGAUCACGGGGUUUUCUAUCUGAUUAUGUCUAUUUCUAUUUAGG
rnacentral:lncRNA from 1 species